rnacentral:rRNA from 1 species
AUCUACGGAUGAAAGCGGGGGAUCGCAAGACCUCGCGCGAUUGGAGCGGCCGAUAUCAGAUUAGGUUGUUGGUGGGGUAAAAGCCCACCAAGCCGACGAUCUGUAGCUGGUCUGAGAGGACGACCAGCCACACUGGAACUGAGACACGGUCCAGACUCCUACGGGAGGCAGCAGUGGGGAAUUUUGGACAAUGGGCGCAAGCCUGAUCCAGCAAUGCCGCGUGCAGGGAUGAAGGCCUAUGGGUCGUAAAC